GGAAUAUUGCGCAAUGGAGGAAACUCUGACGCAGUGACGCCGCGUAUAGGAAGAAGGUUUUCGGAUUGUAAACUAUUGUCGUUAGGGAAGAGAAAAGACAGUACCUAAGGAGGAAGCUCCGGCUAACUACGUGCCAGCAGCCGCGGUAAUACGUAGGGAGCAAGCGUUAUCCGGAUUUAUUGGGUGUAAAGGGUGCGUAGACGGGUAAUCAAGUUAGUUGUGAAAUCCCUUGGCUUAACUGAGGAACUGCAACUAAAACUGGUUAUCUUGAGUACAGGAGAGGUAAGUGGAAUUCCUAGUGUAGCGGUGAAAUGCGUAGAUAUUAGGAGGAACACCAGUGGCGAAGGCGACUUACUGGACGGAAACUGACGUUGAGGCACGAAAGUGUGGGGAGCAAACAGGA
rnacentral:misc_RNA from 1 species